GAAAUGCGAUAAGUAAUGUGAAUUGCAGAAUUCAGUGAAUCAUCGAAUCUUUGAACGCACCUUGCGCUCCUUGGUAUUCCUUGGAGCAUGCCUGUUUGAGUAUCAUGAAAUCUUCAAAGUAAAUCUUUUGUUAACUCAAUUGGUUUCUACUUUGGUAUUGGAGGUCUUUGCAGCUUCACACCUGCUCCUCUUUGUUCAUUAGCUGGAUCUCAGUGUUAUGCUUGGUUCCACUCGGCGUGAUAAGUUAUCUAUCGCUGAGGACACUGUAAAAGGUGGCCAAGGUAAAUGCAGAUGAACCGCUUCUAAUAGUCCAUUGACUUGUACAAUACUUUUAUGAUCUGAUCUCAAAUCAGGUAGUACUACCCGCUGAACUUAAGC
rnacentral:misc_RNA from 1 species